AAUUUUGGACAAUGGGGGAAACCCUGAUCCAGCCAUCCCGCGUGUAUGAUGAAGGNCUNNGGGUUNUNAAGUACUUUUGGCAGNNNNNAAAAGGUACCUCCUAAUACGAGGUACUGCUGCCGGUAUCUGCAGAAUAAGCACCGUCUAACUACGUGCCAGCAGCCGCGGUAAUACGUAGGGUGCAAGCGUUAAUCGGAAUUACUGGGCGUAAAGAGGGCGCAGGCGGUUCGGAAAGAAAGAUGUGAAAUCCCGGGGCUCAACCUCGGAACUGCAUUUUUAACUACCGGACUAGAGUAUGUCAGAGGGGGGUAGAAUUCCACGUGUAGCAGUGAAAUGCGUAGAUAUGUGGAGGAAUACCGAUGGCGAAGGCAGCCCCCUGGGAUAAUACUGACGCUCAGACACGAAAGCGUGGGGAGCAAACAG
rnacentral:rRNA from 1 species